GUAGUCUGCCAUACGCAGGAAGACCCGCUGAACUGAAGCAUCUCAUUAAGCGGAGGAAAAGAAACUAACUAGGAUUCCCUUAGUAAAGGCGAUCGAAAAGGGAACAGCCCAACGUCUUAAUCCCGCAAGGGAAAUGUAGUCGGUUCACCUAUUGCACUGGUCUAAGUCAGAUGGAAUGCUGCGCGAUUCAGAGUAAAAGCCUCGUAUGACCAACCGCAAGCUUACGAUGGACCGGGGAGAGUCGGAUACUUUGAGAGUAGUGUCUUAAGGGGGUGGUAUGUCCC
rnacentral:ncRNA from 1 species